CUAAUAUCAGCAAGAUGGUGGAAUAGGACUUUCCAACACUCAUCCAUCCUCUCAUAGAAACAACAAUUUGAACAACUGUCCAUGCAUGGAAAUGCCUUCACAAGCACUAAGGAAACCAGGUGUUGCAGUAAUUUACAUUCCUAUCAACAGUGUGUAAGUACAUUCCUUUUCCCUGCACCUACAAGUUUUCUUCUGAAAGGAAAAAUUAGAAUUCAAGAUGGAAAGCAAGGUACAUUUAAUUUUGUUUUUUAUACAAUGAUUUAUGAAGACAAUGGUAUAUAUAUCUAUGAGCUGCUUUUGUCUUAUAAUAAGAGUCAAAGAAAUGGAUAGUACUAAGCGUAGUUUAUAGGAUGUAUUUGUAGGUAAUAACUAAUAAAAACUGAGUAUUUAAGAAUUAAGCUUCUUUU
rnacentral:lncRNA from 13 species